UUUGACUGCAAUAUAAGUUGUAUUUAUCAAUAAUUUAAGUAAAAAAUGACAUUUAUAUUUCCAUAAUUACCUGGUAGUUAUUUGUUAAUUUGUUUUAAUUCAUGGAUAGGUUUAUUGCGAGUGUCAUGGAAAGCUGGAACUUUUCAGUACACAACAUGCAAACUGAGAAUGAACUGUGUGUGCCGGCUUUGUGAACAAAAACGCAAGGCGGCUAUGAUACACUGUGUUGUGUGUGGAUAAGAAAUGCAGAGUGGUACCACCAAUUACCUAAGCCACCAUUCCUCUAACAGACAAAAGGCUCAUGGGGACAGUUCCUGCAGUUUACAGCAAAUUGUAGCCCUACAAACUUCAGAUACUGCCAAGCUUGGGUGCACUGGGCCGGUUAUCCAGCCGUGUGGAAUCAACAUCUCCAGCUGAACUUGGGCCGGGAAUUAUAUAAGAAUCCUUAGCAGCAUGAGUGCCAGCCAGUCAUUGCUGUUCUUUGCAUUGCUGAGGAGGACAGUCCUGCCAACAUAACAGUUUGUUCAAUAACAGGAGACAAACAGAAACACAGAGGUGCUAUACAUUCCGAUGGAAAAUACAACAAAAGCAUCUCCCAUCAUUUUGGCGUGGCUCAGAUCAAGAGGAGAAUUUUAAGAAAGGUGAUGGUUGGGCACACACAAGAAGACAUAGAUCACAUGUGUCCAGGCAUAUGAGUAGACAGGAGUUUCACACUCUGCCAAACUUACUUCAUCAGAGGAGCAGAAAGCUUCUCAAGAUCCCGCACUGCACACUUAGAUAUAGUCUUUGACUACAACAAGGGGAUGAAAGUACAGAGAGGUCCAAUUGAAAUCAAUUCUGUGCUGCGUCAUUUCUUCAUUCUGGAAGUCGAUGGACAUGAUUUAUCAUGGCAUCAGGUGUGCAGUUUGUCGACUAUCAGCAGUCUUGUUCACCAGUUGUGCAACUUGAGCUGGUAGCUUUAUUGCUUGAAGCCACAGCAUAAGAGGGGGAAGGUGCAGGCUCAUCAAAAAGUCUCAAAAGUUGAAACUAGGAAAAGAAGUUUGUCAAGAGUGUGAAUAUUUGCUUUGAAAACCAUCGUUACGAUGAUUUGGUUUCCUUUGAAACUUGAUACAUACUAUGUGUAUGUUGAAUGAAUUGAGAUGCUUAAAUAAAGAACCGCUAUUCAAAUAUCAGGAAACUGCAUUUUUCAUACUAAAGGGUAAAUGAUGUCGCCAUUUCCUGUAUGUAUUUAAAUGAGAUAUGUUUCCACAAUUAAUAUUUUUAGGGAAUUUUUCUCAUCCUAAUGAAUGAGAUUAAAUUGUACAGCGUUAUAUGAGCUUAAUAUGUGUUUUCUGUUUCUUUAAAAUUGGUGAAAAAUUGUCAGAAGAUAAUUAGACCAUUAUCCAUUACUGCAAUCAUACAAUCAAAUAUACAGGGACAAACCCACUGGGCAUAUAAUAUAAUUAAACCCUGUUCAGGGGCACGAGGCAAACAGAGUUACUUUCAAACGUUAAAGCUGCACUCUCACAUUUUGGACGUUUUGACAACUUUUCUCAUUUUAUGUCUUGGAUUGGAACCAUCCAAUUUUUGCGAAAAAUUAAAUGGCAGAUUUUUCUAUUUAAGUUAAAACAUUGAUGUUUUAUGCACUUUUCUUAAACCGUUAGUAACAUUAAUUUUUGAACGGAAAUAUGAAAUCUGUGAUCUGAUCUUUUGUCAGCAAUCUUUUAUCAUUGGUUUGCAGAUAAUUACGCAAAAAAUUGCUCAUUCAAAAAAAAAAAGUUGUGAAAACGGUAUAUCUGUGGGAGUGCAGCUCUAAAUGUUUAAUUUCUUGAUUUUACUACUGUAUUAGAAAUUACAGGGGUUGGGGCAUAUUUUUAGUGUUUUUAUUGCUUUUUAUGAUUCAUACAGUCAUACUUUAUUCCUCAGGGCAUAACUUACAAAUAGACAAAACUGGAAAAUGGUCGUUUCAAAAGGCCAAAGAUAAUGCAAGUUGAACAAUCAUAUUGUUCAUGGCUUGUAUUUUUGGUAUAUUUUGUUGCAUAUGCUAUAGAAAAGUUGAAAGUUAAAAAUAAAUUCAUAGUUGAAAUGAUGGCUUUGAAUGGUAUUGUCAGAUGAGAAAAGGCACUUUUAAGAAAUAGGUAUAAUGGUACUUUAUUUAUUUUGAUCAAUUUUAGAUAUUGUAUGAAAAUUAUUAUCUUAUUUAGUACAUGAGACCUUUUAAACAGUUAUUGACAAUAUAACAAUGUGUAUAUGAAGCUUUAGAUCAACACUUAAAGCUGCACUCUUACAGAUUGUCAGUUAAGACACAAAAUUGUCUCAAAAUCUGCUGAUUUGGUUAUCAUUCCUUUAAUUCAGUCAUAUUAGAUAAUUCACAAUAGAACCCAUCAGAAAUGUAAAAGUGCCGAAAAUUUCAUUUACAUUAAAUUGUUCGUAAUGCUUUUAGCCAUAAAACAUCAUUUUUUUAACAUAAAUAUGAUAAACUGCUAUCUGAUCUUUUUUCAGCAUUCUUAUAUCACUUAAAAUUGGGUCUAGACAUUUAUGCAAAAAAAUUGUCCAUUUAUAGACAAACAAUAAAAGAGUACCGGUAGUCAAAACGAUCAAUCGGUGAGAUUGCAGCUUUAAAUACACCUUUUAAGACCACUGUAAAAUUCCAAUGGUUUGCCUAAAUCGUUAAAGCUAGCAUACUGUUUAAUUAACAACCAUACUUAUUGUUUAAAAGUGUCAUGAUAUCUUUGUACAAUGUUUUUUAUAUAAUUCAUUAAAGAAGUCAAAACAAAUUUGUUUAUCUUGUAAAUUGUUUUCUAUUAUUUAAAUGACCCAGACAAAAAUGGGAACGUCA